AUGGCCAUCCUGAUAUUAAUCAGUCUUUUGUUGUUGUCUGCACCAGCUGCUUCUGAGAAUGAAGUCACUGGGAUUAUAGGAGAGACUGUUCUCCUGUCCUGUGACCUGAAUUCAUCCACGGCCAUCGACACAGCAAGACUCCGGUUCCAUUGGCAAGAUAAGUCCGGAAAAGUGUUGUACUCGUUCAACAAAGGAGAAGAGAAUAAACAUCAGGAUAACCUUUACACAAACAGAACUAAAGCCUUUGGGUCUGAGAUGAGUUCUGGGAAUAUCUCUAUCAAACUCAGCCAAGUAACACUUGAAGACAAGCAGACCACCUACUGGGCUUUCGCUACACUGUUUGACGAGAAUGGUAACUCUAUCCUCGACGUGAAAAAGUGUGUCCCACUACCGUACAUGUGGCAGGUAUGGUUGAGUUAAUAACACAGGAGGCUGUUGAGGAGAGGCUAGCUCAUAAUAAUGUCUGGAAUGGAAUAGCAUCAACCACAUGGGAACCAUGUAUUGGAUGUGUUUGAUACCAUUCCAUGUCCACCUGUGUGAGUUAUUCACAGCACUCAUUCUGUCUUUUGUAGGAAAUCAUCAAACAUUAUUAUGGCACCUUUCUAACAUCUUAUUCUCUUUGCUUUGUUCACUUUCAGCACGGUUCCCGACACCCAGUGUGACUGUGAACAAGACAAAUAUGAAUGCCACGUGUUCAACCCAGGGGGGAUACCCACAGC
rnacentral:lncRNA from 8 species